GGAAUCCGUAAAGAAGUGAAAGACUCA
rnacentral:piRNA from 1 species